AAAAGUAUUGGUUUGAGGUUGAGCUUGCUCCCUCACUAAUAUACCAUACUAUAUUCCUACGCCUGGAUCAUAUAGGACCUCAUGGACCUGUUGGUUUCAGGCCAAACCAUAGGAAAGGACAAAC
rnacentral:snoRNA from 15 species